AUGGCGAUGAGCACCCAAAGAGCCUCAUCAUCUUUACUUUCAGCUGAAUCGGCCCCUCGAUGGAAGCAUGAUGUGCUUUUGAGUUUCAGAGGUGCAGACACCCGUGUGGGGUUCAUAUCCCAUUUGUACGAUGAACUCCAGUACUGGCAAGCCAUCAGGACUUUCAAGGACGACAAAGAGCUUGAAGUUGGUGCAAGUAUUUCUCCGGAGCUAUUGAGCGCAAUCGAACAAUCACAUCUUGCCAUCGUUGUUCUCUCGCCAAAUUAUGCUACUUCUGGGUGGUGGUUGGAUGAACUUGCAAAGAUCUUCGAAUCCAUGGAAACAAGGGAUAACGCAAUCCUUCCCGUUUUCUUUCAUGUGGAUCCUUGCGAUGUACGGUAUCAAAGGGGAAGCUUUGCUCAUGCUUUUGCUAAGCAUGAAGAGAGAGAUAUGGUAAUGACUCAGAUAAGUUGAAGAGGUGGAGAGCAGCUUUAACUAAAGUGGCCAGUCUCUCUGAAUGGGAUUUGAAGAAUUAUGAAUCUGAGAGAGAGCUCAUCAAACUCGUCGUCAAAUGUGUUUGGAGAAAGGUGCGUCCUACAAUCACAUUGUCACACUCUGCAGACAAGUUAGUCGGAAUUGAUUUUGGACUUGGGGAACUGGGUAUUCUAUUAGCUCCUGAGGUGAAUCAUGUUCGAUUUAUAGGAAUAUGGGGUAUGGGUGGGAUUGGUAAGACAACUCUUGCUAAACUAGUAUUUGAGAGGAUUUCCCAUCAGUUUGAGGUGGGCAAGUUUCUUCUCAAUGUUAGAGAAGUUUCUUCAAAACAUGGCACUCUAGUUAAUUUUCAAAAACAGCUUCUUUACCCAAUCUUGAAGGAAAAUAUUGCACAAGUUUGGGAUGAACAAGAAGGAACCUUUUUCAUUAGGAAAUGCUUUUCUAAUAAAAAGGUUCUUCUCAUUCUUGAUGAUGUUGAUCACGUUAACCAACUACAAUUACUGGCUGGAAAAAGAUCUUGGUUUGGUGCUGGAAGCAGAAUUAUUGUUACAACUAGAGAUGAACGUUUGUUCAUUGAACAUGAUAUAGAAAUAACCUUUAAGGUAGUGGGACUAAAUGACAAUGAAGCUCUUGAGCUCUUUAGUCAGAAUGCAUGUAAGAAGGAUCAGCCUGAUGAAGAGUUUUUGCAAUUGUGUUUCAUAGACUAUGCCAAAGGGCUUCCAUUAGCACUUAAAGUUCUGGGACGCUCUUUGUAUAAGAGAGGUAUAGAUGAGUGGAUUAGUGCAUUGGAUAAGCUUAAGAAUGAUCCUGAUACAGAAAUUUUUAGUUCACUGAAGCUGAGUUAUGAUGGGUUGUGUGAAAUGAGCAAGAGUAUUUUUCUUGAUGUUGCUUUCUUACACAAGGGGAAGAACAAGAAGAGAAUAAUUGACAUACUGGACAGAACUUGUGACUUUUCCAGUCUUUAUGGGUUAAAUGUUCUCAUUGAGAAAUCUCUCUUGACAAUUGAGAGGGGCAGUACGGUAGAGGUGCAUGAUUUGAUUCAAGAAAUGGCAUGGGAAAUUGUUUGUCGGGAGUCUCGUGAUGAACCUGGUCGACGCAGUCGUUUGUGUCAUCAUAAAGACAUAUAUCAUGUAUUCUCAAGAAAUACGGGAACAAAAGCAAUCCAAUGCAUCCGCUUAUGCUUACAACGAUUUGAACAGGCAGACUCAAACUUGACUUCUGACAGCCUUUCUAAGAUGCUGGGACUAACUUUUCUUGAAUUUGAUAGGUUUAUGACUUAUUCAUGCCCCAAGUUCCUCCCUAAUUCCUUGAAAGUUCUUAUAUGGAGUUGGUAUCCUUCCAAAUUUCUUCCAGCUAGUUUCCGACCAAAUUUACUCACUGAACUUAGAAUGGAAAAUAGCAAUCUUGUUGAGCUUUGGGAUGGAAAAAUGGACUUUCCAAACUUGAAAUAUAUGGAUCUUCGGAAUUCUAAAAAUUUGACCAAGACCCCAGAUGUCACAGGUAUUCCGAAUCUUGAGGUGUUGCAACUUCGACUUUGUACUCGUUUAGUUGAGAUCCACCCAUCCAUUGCCAUCCACAAAAAACUUCGACAUUUAGAGCUUCAUGGGUGUACAGGUAUUAGUAGUUUACCUAGAAAGAUAGAAAUGUAUUCUCUUGAGCUGUUUGGACUUGCUGGUUGCUCAAAAGUGAAAAGGAUUCCAGAAUUUGGAAGCCAGAUGAAACCUUGGUUAAGUCUUAAGCUAAGUGGGACUGCUAUUGAGAUAAUUCCUUCCUCAAUUAGACAUCAGGUUGGCCUUGUUAAGCUGGAGCUAAGAAAUUGCAAUAAUCUCUCGAGUCUUCCCUGUUCCAUAGUUGAUAAUCUGAAGCGUCUGAAAUACCUCGAUCUGGAUGAUUGCUCAAAACUUGACAAACUCCCAGAGAACUUGGGGAAAAUGGAGAGUUUGGAGGAGCUUCGCAUUAGUGGAACUGCAAUAACAGAGCCGCCACACUUCAUCACUCUUUUGAGAAAUCUCAAAGACCUACAUUUCAGAAGAUCGUGUAUAAGGAAGCUUGACGGUGGACUUUGGGGCAUAUUCGCAAGAAAGAGCCCGGAACCUUUGGGCUUGAUGUUGCCUUCUCUAAGGGAUUUACGCUCUUUGGAGUGAUUAAAUCUGGUUGAUCAUAAUCUCUGUCAAGGAGCUCUCCCGGAUGAUAUAGGCUAUUGCAUGCCAUCUCUAGAAUACUUGUAUCUAAGUGGAAAUAAUUUUGUUACCCUUCCUGCAAGCAUAAAAUGUCUUUCAAAGCUUCUUUGGAUCGAGUUGAACAGUUGCAAAAGGCUUCAACAAUUGCCAGAACUUCCAUCAAAUAGUCUGUUACAAGUGAAAGCAGAUAAUUGUGAUUCCUUGAAUAUGUUGUCAGAACCAUCAAAGGUGCACCCAGUUUCCACCAAUUUGUGCAACUUUACUUUCAGUUCUGUUAAUUGCAAUGGAUUGGUUGACAAUGAAGGCUGGAAUGAUGGAAUACUUUUAAUAUUAAGGCGAUUGCCUGCUCAGGGAAUCUCUCCAAAGUUUGAGAAAUUUAAUACUGUAACUCCUGGAAGCCAAAUUCUCGGGUGGUUCAGCAAUCAAAGUAAGGGUGAUUCACUAAUUGUGGAGCUACCUCCAGAUUCAUGUAGCAGAUGGAUGGGGAUUGCGUUUUGCGCUGUUACUGCUGAUCUGGGAAACUCAUCGGCUCUUGAAAAUGCCUUUCUUGGGAUCGAAUGUCUUUGGAAUGGAAAUUGUUGUAACUACACUGGUUAUGAACUAUCAGGCUGUUUCAUGAAAGCACACCUUUGGAUAUUCUAUAUGCCUCGUGAAGAAAUUCGGCAUACGUUUUCAUACUAUAACUGUGACAAAACAUGGUUAACAGACACCACAAAUGUUGUGUUUUCAUUCAAAGCCAGCUACAGAAGAUUUGGGAAGGAGAAAAUCUUGGAGGUGAAGAAAUGUGGAGCUCGUUUGGUGUGCCAGCAAGAUUUGAAUGAACUCCUAAUACAGUGAACAGACGUAAGCGAACUCGUGAGUACAGUGACAAGGCAGGUCCAAGUGGAAAUGGUGGCUCCAACGGACCAUCACUCUUCAAAAGAUUGAAAGGAAGACUAUUUUCUUUAGCUGGAUUGAAUCCCCCUGCUCGAACUGAUCGAAUGUAGGAAA